UUGUUUGCGUGUUAGGGGAGACACCGUGGUCGUGAAAGGUGGUGUUUCUAGGGUGAAGUCAAUCCUUCACAAUUCAGAUAUGCUGAUCCCUGUAGUUUCCCAGAUGCUGAUUCCUGUCAUUUCCCAGGAAUCUCAGCUGCAUAAUUUUUGGUAGCGGGAAACUUUCUGCACCAUUCCCU
rnacentral:snRNA from 14 species